UACGUAGGUGGCAAGCGUUGUCCGGAUUUAUUGGGUUUAAAGGGUGCGUAGGCGGUCUUCUAAGUCAGUUGUGAAAUACUUCAGCUUAACUGGAGAGGUGCAAUUGAUACUGGAAGGCUUGAGUACUGAUGAGGUAGGCGGAAUGGACGGUGUAGCGGUGAAAUGCUUAGAUAUCGUCCAGAACACCGGUAGCGAAGGCAGCUUGCUAAGGAGUAACUGACGCUGAGGCACGAAAGUGUGGGGAUCAAACAGG
rnacentral:rRNA from 1 species